UUUAUUUUUGUUAAAAGCGACGGGCGAUAUGUGCAUGCUAAAUUUCUUAUUCAUGAUUUAUUUAUCUUUUUUUUUCAUUAUUAUUAAAUCCUUUUUGUAAUUUUUUUCAAUACUACUUUUUUUAUAUUUAAAGCAUUCUACAUUUUUCUUUUAUAUCAUCUUUGUCUUGAUUUGUUUUUUAAUCCUUAUUUGAUUUUUAAGAUAAUUUUAACUUUUUUUUUUUCUUUAAAACAAUGAUAUAAGGGAUAAAAAAAAAAGUUUAAUUAAUCGUGGGCUAUCGAUUAUUUUGCGGAAUUCUUUAAUUAGUUUUAACACCGCCAUUAUAUUUAAAUUUCUUUUAAUUAAAUACUAUCUUUUUUUUUAUUUAAAA
rnacentral:rRNA from 1 species